AUUCUUAUUAUCACCGUUAUCAUUAUUGUCACCAGCUUCCUUCUCCACUAGCGGAAUCUGAGGAUCAUCAGAUGAUGUCUUCGCAAUGGACCAUAAUGAUCAUCCUCGGUCAACGAUCAUUCCACAUACCCAGGAGUCCUUUUCCUGAUCCGCUCAUGAUGACCACUUGCUGAGGGGUCUAGGAAUGUAUGACGACGAUGCUGACGAUGUUGGAGAUAAUAUGGACCGAUGAUGAUAUUGGGCUGAUUGACUCUGGAGAACUUGCCGAUUUCACGUUUUUCAAUUUGGAACUGAUGGUCUUACGCGAUCUCUACCUCCUCUACGAGGGCUGCUACUGACAGUGUCCGUUUCUCGAGGGUUCCUGGUGCUCUUAAGCCUUCAACCCCUCCGCCAGAUUGGUUCUUCAGUGACAAUCUCAUCGCGAUUGGUCCGUUGCUCAAGAGAACCGUCUCCUCAUUGGCGAGAAACCCUUUUCAUGGGGGUUGCCAUCCGGAGUCUCCAGUUUUCCGUAACGGUGCUACUAAACAUUCUGUGACGUCACUGGGAACCCUUGCGUAGGUGCAAGAACUGAUAACGAAUGGAGGCAUUCGAAAAGUGCAAACAGGACCCUUAGAGUAUUGGAUUUAACAAAAUCAAGGUUACCUACAAUACAAAACCAGGUCACCCAAAAAUCUUUACGAGUUUGGAUUUCUCGCAGGAAGCUAUAAAGUUAUUGGGUCAUGCAAAUGAGUGAUAACUUCAAUGUCAUACAAACAGGAUUCCUGGAGUUUCAUUCAAGAGCAACCAUUAUUGAACGUAACGCAUCGUUAAGCUUUUCAAAAACACAGAAGCUCUGCUAUUGGAUAGAGAAUCUUGUAAAGCCACUACAAGACUUUCGUUUCCACUAAAAUCACUUUGUAAUUAAUUAUACAGAUUAAUUGUUCUUCUGAAACGACUUGGUGACGGUUUUAAAUCUACUACCGUUUACGUCGCAUGGAUUUUUCUUUUAAAAGAAAUGGAUACCUCUUCUACUUGCAAUAGUCAUGGAUAACAAGGAAACCUCUCACAGAACAAAGACAAUGUUUAAUAAAAGCUCGAACGCCCCGAGCUUUCCACUUCUUGGCAAAGUAGAUGCAGCACAUUACCAGACCCCAUCACUUACCACUAUCAGCUAUCACCUUGGGGCUACCCUAGGUGAAUUAUACUGGGUAUUCUUUUGGCAUUAAACGAAUGAACUGGAUCGAAUUUUGGUAAGAAAUCCACAGUGGGUUUUAACUAAAGGGGCCUUAAAAAUAUUCUGCAGACAGAUGUAGAAUAGUCAAAGAAUUGAAAACCGAAAUUAUGUUUAAAAAAUCGUGUUUUCUCAAGUAAAAAUAUUCUUAGAUAUUUUUCUAUUUUCUAGUAUAUUCUUUGAUCCUCCUUCAUCAUCGUCGAAACUGUUAUAGGUACUGUCUUCUUUGAUUGCUGAGUCUACUAUGACGUCACUCUGUACGGCUUAGCUGUAUCUUGGCGAAUGUCUGUUUCACCUGUUUUCAAUCACUUACUACCCGCAUUGGGUUCUAGCAAAGCUCAUUCACCAGAAAGUCGUGUGGGGAUGAGAUAUCAGUCCCUCUUACAAUGCGUUUUAGUUGUUUCAGAUGCCCAAGGGAUACUUCUAAUGUCUGGGAUCCUACUGCGAUGUUAUAAUCGUCAUGGAAGAGACAAAUGAAUGGGAUUUUGUUAUGAGAAGGAAAAAAAUGUAUAGCUACUCGAUAAACACUGUAUUGAUGCAACGUCCAUGUUAAUUGUAAUUUUCCACUCAGACACAUAACGGCAAUGUAACAGCGCUGUGAUAUUGACGUCAUUAAGAUGAAUGGGAAAUUAUAAAUAACAGGCAUGUUACGUAUAAUCUUGUGUUUGUUGGGUAUAGACUGUAUUGCAAGAUUAAAAAUCAAAUUUUUAUAUAUUGGGCUCGAGCAAUACUUAUUUUCCUUCAUUGGUUACUACCUGAAAUGGAAGUUAAAGUGUCUUCGAGGAGGAUGAAGUCUUCAGGAUGAAGACUCAACGAAGAGAGCCGACUAGGUACAAGAUGAUGGGUAUUCAGUGUCGGUAAACACGAAGAUCCUCUCAGAGCGGGUUCUCAGCACGAAUGAAGGGUUGCUGGUUGAAAGAUGCCGAGUGACUGAGAGGUAUCUUUUACAUACUUUUUGACUGAGUCAAAGAAAGAUGCGCGAUACCUCAUUUUUAGAAUUCAUUCUGUUCUUUAAAUAAGUUGUUACCUACUCGACCAAGUUGUUACCCAAUUAAGUACACAAGCCGGUGGUCUUACAGGAUUUGGUCAAUUGGAAGAAGGACUUAAAUAGCUUUUGAAUUUAUGUACUAUAGAAAUUUGUUGGAUCUGUAUAUAGAUAUUCAGUGUAUGAUAUAUAUAUUCAUAUUUCUAGACAACGUUA